CGAACGGGUGAGUAACACGUGGGCAACCUGCCCAAAGAGGGGGAUAACACUUGGAAACAGGUGCUAAUACCGCAUAACCAUAGUUACCGCAUGGUAGCUAUGUAAAAGGUGGCUAUGCUACCGCUUUUGGAUGGGCCCGCGGCGCAUUAGCUAGUUGGUGGGGUAAAGGCUUACCAAGGCAAUGAUGCGUAGCCGAACUGAGAGGUUGAUCGGCCACAUUGGGACUGAGACACGGCCAAACUCCUACGGGAGGCAGCAG
rnacentral:rRNA from 1 species